CACUUUUAGUUCUUAUUAAAAGCCUUACCUGCUCUCUGGUUUUCUCAAUAGCCGCGUUUCUCGUGCUAAGGUAGCAUAAUCAAUAGCCUAUUAAUUGUAGGAUAGAAUGAAAGGUCGCACGAAUUUCUUUCUUUCUUAGUUAAAUAUAAACAAUCUAUAUUUUAAGUAAAAAUUCUUAUUCUAACAAGAAAGACGACAAGACCCUACUAAACUUAACUUAAGUUAAACUAGGGCGGUUUCAUAAUAAAAUCUUAUUUUUUACCCCCCAUAAGAACUAAUACUUAAUUCAAGAAAGUUACUAUAGGGAUAACAGCAUAAUUUCUAUCUAAAGAUCUUAUUCAAAUAGAAGAUUAUGACCUCGAUGUUGAAUAUUUUAUCUCUUGAAAUCUACUUUACACUUCCCUUAAGCAAAAAUACAAAAAGAAAGUCUGUUCGACUUUUAAAAAAUUACA
rnacentral:rRNA from 1 species